rnacentral:rRNA from 1 species
UACAGAGGUCUCAAGCGUUGUUCGGAUUCAUUGGGCGUAAAGGGUGCGUAGGCGGGUCUUUAAGUCAGGGGUGAAAUCCUGGAGCUCAACUCCAGAACUGCCUUUGAUACUGAAGAUCUUGAGUUCGGGAGAGGUGAGUGGAACUGCGAGUGUAGAGGUGAAAUUCGUAGAUAUUCGCAAGAACACCAGUGGCGAAGGCGGCUCACUGGCACGAUACUGACGCUGAGGCACGAAAGCGUGGGGAGCAAACAGG